AAGGCAUGAGAGGUCAU
rnacentral:misc_RNA from 1 species